GACGAACGCUGGCGGCGUGCUUAACACAUGCAAGUCGAACGGAAAGGCCCUGCUGGUUUGGGGUGCUCGAGUGGCGAAAGGGUGAGUAACACGUGAGUAACCUGCCCUUGAGUUUGGGAUGACUUCAUGAAACUGGGGCUAAUACCGGAUAGGAGCUCCUGCUGGAGGGUGGGGGUGGGAUAGUUUCGGCGGUUGGGGAUGGACUCGCGGCUUAUCAGCUUGUUGGUGUGGUAAUGGCUUACCAAGGCGUUGACGGGUAGCCGGCCUGAGAGGGUGACCGGCCACACUGGGACUGAGAUACGGCCCAGACUCCUACGGGAGGCAGCAGUGGGGAAUAUUGCACAAUGGGCGGAAGCCGGAUGCAGCAACGCCGCGUGCGGGAUGACGGCCUUCGGGUUGUAAACCGCUUUCAACUGUGACGAAGCGUAAGUGACGGUACUGGGAGAAGAAGCACCGGCUAACUACGUG
rnacentral:rRNA from 1 species